GUAAUUUAAGGAGAGCAACCCUCCUCAGGGGCAGUAGGCAGACAAAGCUCCACCGAAUGUCUUCUUGCUGUGGAAGGAAGAGUGACUGCUGGACCUUAAGGGGGACGGGUCCUGGAGCAUUGGAACCCAGUAUGACAUUCAGAAGAAAAAUCAGCCUUAGAUUUGGAAAUGGUUGGUGGGGGGAUGGUGGUGACAGAGACACUGAGUUGACAUGGUGAAUGCAUGUGAGAGGUUUGAGAACCUAAGGGGAAACGUUAAGUUGAAAAGUCGUUAAGGAUCAGAGGAGAGAGAGAAAGACUGCUGUGAAGUUUGUAACUUGUAAGCCAGUGUGAGGCUAGUUCAGUGCCUAGGAUAUGCUUCAUAAAUGCCAUGGAAGAAACGAAGAAGGGUGUUGAAGAGGAGGAAGAAUGCCAUGAGAGUAGAGAGACGCAAGCCCAGCAGUUCAGAGCGGGGUGACCGAAGACACAGAUAGCUCAUGGUGGCCGAAAUGGGAGGUCGCUCACACCAGAGUUUAACCUCAUCGUGCAAUUGCAAAAAACAGCCCCGGUUGAGACCUUUUCCAGACGUGGGAGCCCAAGGAUGGAGAGAGUUAUCUAAAGCCGUUGCUAUUUCAGUCCAGAACUUGAAGUUAAAAAUGUUCAAAUGGAAAAAAAAGUUUAAAAAUAUAGAUGUGUAUUUUUCUAAAACCCCAUUAAGCUGUCAAAGGCUCUCGCUGUGUGUUUCCUUUCCCAUCGUUGCUAAUCGGCAAGGUAUGUGUGUGCCCCAAACAGCAAAGUGGCCCUCCGUUUCCUCUUCUUCACCCUCCAGUUACACCUCCCACCCCUGACCCUCCUCCUUCCAUUGCUUAUACUUAAUCUAUUCCCCAGCCUCAGGGACCUAGCAGCUUAAUCUCCGCUCCCUGGAGAGACUGCUAAAGGGAACAGCAGCCCUGCUUCUGCCUAGAGGCUGGGACGCCCACUGCAGACUCUGUGGUGCAUCUACACUGCCUGAGCAGCUGACUCUGUGGUCUACACUGCCUGAGCAGCAGAAAGCAUCACUUUUCAGCUCUGAGAGCCUUAUUGCGCUGGGUUCCAGGUUCUUCUUGUGUAGAGUGAGA